AGCUGUUUAUCUCAGCUGUUCAGAGUGUGGUGCUGGUAACACUGAGGUCAUGGGUUCAACCCCAUACUGGCAA
rnacentral:tRNA from 1 species